AUUUUGGGAAAGAAAAAAUAAAUGUUCAGAUCGAUUCAACCUCUCUCUCUUCUCUAGGAGGCCCAGCUCCCCAACUCUCUCUCUAUCUCUCUCUCUCUCAUCACAUACACACACAACCUGACCCUAGUUUUAGACUCCAGCGUCUCCAACCCCGACCUCAGCUUCUUCUCCAACCAGACCCUCGCCCCCGACCUCAGCUCCUUCUCCGACUUGAGCGGCCUGGAGCUCCUUCUCUGAUCUGUCCACGAGGUCAUUCUCCGACCUGAGCUCGUUCUCCAGGUUCAGCUCUUUCUCUCUCGCUCUUCCCUGAAACCCUAGUGCUCUCCUCCUUCCUCUGCUGCUCUCUUUCCACAGCUAAUGUCUCUCCCUUGUUAACGGCCUUCGUCCCCUCACCGGCGCCAUCGCCUCUGCUGGUGCUUCUCGUCCAACGGCACCACGUCCUUGCUUCGAGAUCCGAACCCCAACUGGUCCAACCGUCCUCCAUGGAAUCUAUCCUUCUCGAUUGGUGCGACUUCGAGCACCAAACGCCGGCGGCGGAGGAACCGAAUACAACCUACAUCAGGUACUCUGGGUUUGCAGAUUCAAGGUCUCUUUGAUUUGGAGAAAUGGAGGCCACGAUGCCCAUUUGCAAGACUGUUACUCCAACUCACCAGAGAGGCUUUAUUAGAAGAAGAGCUACUGAACGUGGAGGUUGAAAUUCAAAUUAAGCGUCCAAGAAUGAUCAGUUUCGGUUGCCGGGAGCUACGGCUCCAAAGGCCAGUUUGUACAUGGAAAAGAAAAUCUGUAUCUAACUUCUUUCCCUGCCAAGAACAAAUCCGAGGCACAGAUGUGCGAGUCUACAAGUAUCUCAGGAUUAUGCACCCCCAGCCUGAAGUCCCACUUUGCCUAUCAGGUCAUGGCAUCCACAGAAGCAGCAGCAUUAGCCUCAUCGCCAAAGCCAAAUAACACCAUUGAUUUGGAAAAUGAAAAAUGGAAUAACCCUUCACCAAGAAUGUUGGAUGCAACUAACAGUUGUAAACUGAUUUUCAUAGUCUUGCUUUUGGUUAGAUUUCUGCUCAGUCAGGCCUAUUAUAGUUUGUAGAGUCAUCCACUAUUGUUGUGCAGGGACAUAUGUGUGAAGUGAUGGCAAAAAUCAUGGAAGUCUAGGUUGCUAGAGCUAUUGUUAGCAUGGUUGGCCAGUUUGGUAUUGAGUUCUACUCUGCAUAUCUUGUUGCUGAGAAGGAAGAGGAAGGAACUGUAUAGAGGAAGUUGAUGGAGAGAAGCAAAUGGACAAGUACAAUAUGUUUCUGGCCUUGAUGUUUUUGGCCUUUAUGUUUAGGUAGGAUUAGUAUGUUGAUGUUGGGAUGAUGAUGUAAUGAACUGGUUUUGAAUGAUCAAUCAAUGGAUGUGUUUUCGAAUGUGUUAGUCAA